rnacentral:lncRNA from 1 species
CUAAGAACCCUAAUUCUAGAGAGAAGAGGGAGCUUCUCUCUCUAUAAACUAAACUACAUGAUGCUAUUCUACAUCUAAUUGCUCCCUCCUUUGCUCAAUCCUCAAUUUUGCAUGAAAUAGCCUCAGAAACGAGUUGGAUUUGGGUCUAGGAAGUUCAGAAAUCACCCCCAGCGAAUUCACUUUAAGCGGGUCACGUGCCUGACGUCACGCGUGCGCGUCGAUGGCCAAAAUCCCUUCUCAUGCGUACGCGUGGGUGACGCGUGCGCGUGGCUUGCAAAUCUCCUUCUCACGCGUACGCGUGCGCGUGGCCCUUAAUUCUCCAAAUGCUCAUUUCUUCAUGCAUUCUCCACGUUGUAUGCUUUUCUCUUCACUCCUUCUAUCCAAUACUUGCUUUAUGAACCUAAGAUCACUCAACAAAUACAUCAAGGCAUCGAAUGGAAUUAAGGUGAAUCAAAAUUAGCAAUUUAAAGGCCUAAAAAGCAUGUUUUCACUCUUAAGCACGAAAUCAGGGAGAAUUAUAAAACCAUGCUAUUUCAUUGAAUAAAUGUGGGAAAAUGUUGAUAAAAUCUCCUAAAUUAAGCGCAAGAUAGACCACAAAAUUGGAGUUUAUCAGGGACCACCUACCAAAGUCUCGUCACCAAAAUCUUUAAGG